rnacentral:snoRNA from 1 species
AGGCCGUGAUGGGGACACUUGCGUAAUAGCUCCUUGAACCUUUCCCAAGUUUCAUAUAAGGAUUCCCCGUCCUCUUGUGAGUAUGUAUUCAUUUCAGCCAUUAAUUU